AGUGAACGCUGGCGGUAGGCCUAACACAUGCAAGUCGAACGGCAGCACAGUAAGAGCUUGCUCUUACGGGUGGCGAGUGGCGGACGGGUGAGGAAUACAUCGGAAUCUACUUUUUCGUGGGGGAUAACGUAGGGAAACUUACGCUAAUACCGCAUACGACCUACGGGUGAAAGCAGGGGAUCUUCGGACCUUGCGCGAUUGAAUGAGCCGAUGUCGGAUUAGCUAGUUGGCGGGGUAAAGGCCCACCAAGGCGACGAUCCGUAGCUGGUCGGAGAGGAUGAUCAGCCACACUGGAACUGAGACACGGUCCAGACUCCUACGGGAGGCAGCAGUGGGGAAUAUUGGACAAUGGGCGCAAGCCUGAUCCAGCCAUACCGCGUGGGUGAAGAAGGCCUUCGGGUUGUAAAGCCCUUUUGUUGGGAAAGAAAAGCAGCAGGUUAAUACCCCGCUGUUCUGACUGUACCCAAAGAAUAAGCACCGGCUAACUUCGUG
rnacentral:rRNA from 1 species